ACCUAUUUCAUUAAGCUUCUCUUGAUAUUUCUUCACUUCCAUACUCACAUAAGAGAACAUCAAACCAUAAGAACUCAUAGAAGUAGAGCUUUUUCUAGCUGAAAAUCCUAUGUUUUUAAGUUUGAAUUCAUCUAUAAUCAAGGCUUCUAGCACACCUUAUCUAAGACUGCUGAUCCUUUCACUUCAUAAACCAUAUUGAUUUUGAGGUAAGUUGAAGCUUUCAUUUGCUCAUUAUAAGAACCUAAUUAUGUGUGUUUUAAUGUGAAUUUUGCUAUGUGUUCUCCAUGAUGUUUGAAUGAUUGAUGAGUCAUAGUGAUAUGAAAGAAUAUGUUUUGAAAAUGGGAGUAUGGUACUUGAUUGAUGGUCGAGUAGGCAAGGGACGCGGGAGGAACCGGCGGACCCAACACAUGGUGGCAAAUACCUGAGGUCGAAAGACCAGUAUGGAAAACCCACAAUUAAAGAAAUGAAAUACGGCUAAUACCUGAGGUCGAAAGGCCGGUAUGGAAACCCCCGAAUUAUCUAUUGGCUAAAUAGGAUGAACAAGUUCCGAAAAUCAAAGUCUAUUACUAUCAGUCAAGUACCACACUUCAAGGGUACCCGAUAAAGAGAAGGAUUUCAAAGAAAAGGAUCACGAAUGAAGUUAUAUGUGAUAUUGUACAUAUUGAAUGAAUAACGUGUUAUGUGAUAUAUUGCUAUUACAUCAGUUUCAACUUGCUGAGCCAUUAGCUCAUUAGGUUCUUAUGAUGCAGGUAAUGAUGUACAUGUUUAGAAGUUGACCUAGCCAACAGCGGCCAGACAGAGUUUUGUUCAUAUGCCAUGUUUCGCGCCAUUUUUGUAGCCGAUCUAGAAACUCUGAUUUCAUUUUGUUAGCCACUCUAUUAUGGUUUUGUACAAUGUAAUUUUGUAAACAAUAUAUAUAAUUUUGAGAAAAUACAAUGUUUGAUUUCUUUUCAAAGCAUAUAACGUAUUUUUGUAUUAAAACCAUAAUUUUUAAGUAGAUAUAUAAAAGGUUGGCAUCCCUAACUUAAUAGUGGUGAUCCGAUUGGAUUCUGCUGUUAGGUUGUGGGGCUUUACAGUUCGAGGACACGAAUUUGCAUCAAGAAACGUGCACAAAAACACUCGCUACAAAAUAUACGCACAUAAGUAAAAGUACAAAAGCAUGCACAAAAGUACUCACGCAAAAGUGUAUUCACAAAAAGGAUCAUGAAAACACAAACUACAAUCCGAGGACAUUAAUACAAAUCAACAAACAUGCACAAACACACUCGCUCAAAUGGACAUGCACAAACGUACAUGUAAAAAAACAUGCGCAAAAGUGCAUUCGCAACAACGUUCUUAAAAACACGAAAUACAACACUAGGACUUUAAUACGCAUAACCAAACAAUAGCAAAAACACUAAAUACAAAAUUUUCAGUGGAGUGUAGAAAUAGCACUCAACGUUUAAAUUUAUGUGGAUUUUUUUAUGGAUUAAUUUAUAUUUCUACUUUAAUUGGUGGAUUUAGUAUGUUAUAGGUACAAAUUGAUAACUAGGUGUCCAAGAAGAAAAAAUGAUCAAAGAGUAAGAAAAGAGUUGCAAGUAGGAAAAUAAAAUCAAAUUAGAAGAGAGGAUCGCUCAACAUCUUCGGUAGUGUCCACGAAGUCGGGCAUAACUUUCUCAUCCGGACUCCAAAUCAACCGGUUCCGGCGGCAUUAGAAAGCUAUUUUAGCUGGCUACAAUUCCUGUCUAAUGUCAAAUUUCCAAAUUCGGACUCGAACAUGGCCAAAAUCAGAUUCUAAAAGCGAUCAUGAAAAUACGUGCUACUGUACGAGAACACGAAUGCGCAUCAAGAAACGUGCACAAAAACACACGCUACAAAAUAUACGCACAUAAGUAAAAGUACAAAAGCAUGCACAAAAGUACUCACGCAAAAGUACAUUCGCAAAAAGGAUCACGAAAACACAAACUACAAUACUAGGAUAUUAAUACAAAUCAACAAACAUGCACAAACACACUCGCUCAAAUGGACAUGCACAAACGUACAUGUAAAAAAAUAUGCGCAAAAGUACAUUCGCAACAACGUUCUUAAAAACACGAAAUACAACACUAGGACUUUAAUACGCAUAACCAAACAAUAGCAAAAUCACUAAAUACAAAAGAUACAGUGGAGUGUAGAAAUAACACUCAACGUUUACGUUUACGUGGAUUUUUUUAUUGAUUAAUUUAUAUUUUUGUUUCAAUUGGUGGAUUUAGUAUCUUAUAUGUACAAAUUCAUAAUUAGGUGUCCAUGAAGAAAAAAUGAUCAAAGAGUAAGAAAAUAGUUGCAAUUAUGAAAAUAAAAUCAAAUUAGAAUAGAUGAUCCCUCAACAUCUUCGGUGGUGUCCACGAAGUUGAGCAUAACUUUCUCAUCCGUACUCCAAAUCAACUGGUUCCGGCGGCAUUAGAAAGCUAUUUUAGCUGGCUACAAUUCCUGGCUAAUGUCAAAUUUCCAAAUUCGGACUCGAACAUGGUCAAAAUCAUAUUCCAAAAGCGAUCAUGAAAAUACGUGCUACAGUACGAGAACACGAAUGCGCAUCAAGAAACGUGCACAAAAACACACGCUACAAAAUAUACGCACAUAAGUAAAAGUACAAAAUCAUGCUCAAAAGUACUCACGCAAAAGUGCAUUCGCAAAAAUGAUCAUGGAAACACAAACUACAAUCCUAGGACAUUAAUACAAAUCAACAAACAUGCACAAACACACUCGCUCAAAUGGACAUGCAAAAACGUACAUGUAAAAAAAUAUGCGCAAAAGUACAUUCGCAACAACGUUCUUAAAAACACGAAAUACAACACUAGGACUUUAAUACGCAUAACCAAACAAUAACAAAAGUACUAAAUACAAAAUAUACAGUGGAGUGUAGAAAUGACACUCAACGUUUACGUUUACGUGGAUUUUUUUUAUUGAUUAAUUUAUAUUUUUGUUUUAAUUGGUGGAUUUAGUAUCUUAUAGGUACAAAUUGAUAAUUUGGUGUCCGUGAAGCAAAAAUGAUCAAAGAGUACGAAAAGAGAUGCAAUUAGGAAAAUAAAAUCAAAUUAGAAGAGAGGAUCCCUCAACAUCUUCGGUAGUGUCCACGAAGUCGAGCAAAACUUUCUCAUCCGGACUCCAAAUCAAGUGGUUCCCGCGGCAUUAGAAAGCUAUUUUAGCUGGCUACAAUUCCUGUAUAAUGUCAAAUAUCCAAAUUCGGACUCGAACAUGGUCAAAAUCAGAUUCCAAAAGCGAUCAUGAAAAUACGUGCUACAGUACGAGAACACGAAUACGCAUCAAGAGACGUGCAAAAAAACACACGCUACAAAAUAUACGCACAUAAGUAAAAGUACAAAAGCAUGCACAAAAGUACUCACGCAAAAGUGCAUUCGCAAAAAGGAUCACAAAAACACAAACUAACAUCCUAGGACAUUAAUACAAAUCAACAAACAUGCACAAAUACACUCGCUCAAAUGAACAUGCACAAACGUACAUGUAAAAAAACAUGAGCAAAAGUGCAUUCGCAACAACAUUCUUAAAAACACGAAAUACAACACUAGGACUUUAAUACGCAUAACCAAACAAUAGCAAAAACACUAAAUACAAAAGAUACGGUGGAGUGUAGAAAUAACACUUAACUUUUACGUUUACGUGGAGUUUUUUAUGGAUUAAUUUAUAUUUUUGUUUUAAUUGGUGGAUUUAGUAUCUUCUUAUAGGUACAAAUUGAUAAUUAGGUGUCCAUCAAGCAAAAAUGAUCAAAGAGUACGAAAAGAGUUGCAAUUAGGAAAAUAAAAUCAAAUUAGAAGAGAGGAUCCCUCAACAUCUUCGGUAGUGUCCACGAAGUCGAGCAUAACUUUCUCAUCCGGACUCCAAAUCAACUGGUUCCGGCGGCAUUAGAAACCUAUUUUAGCUGGCUACAAUUCCUAUCUAAUAUCAAAUUUCCAAAUUCGGACUCGAACAUGGUCAAAAUUGGAUGCAAAAAGUGAUCAUGAAAAUACGUGCUACAGUUCGAGGACACGAAUGCGCAUCAAAAAACGCGCACUAAAACACUCGCUACAAAGAUACGCACGUAAGUAAAAGUACAAAAGCAUGCACAGAAGUACUCACGCAAAAGUGCAUUCGCAAAAAGGAUCACGAAAACACAAACUACAAUCCUAUGACAUUAAUACAAAUCAACAAACAUGCACAAACACACUCGCUCAAAUGGACAUGCACAAACGUACAUGUAAAAAAAUAUGCGCAAAAGUACAUUCGCAACAACGUUCUGAAAAACACGAAAUACAACACUAGGACUUUAAUACGCAUAACCAAACAAUAGCAAAAACACUAAAUACAAAAGAUACAGUGGAGUGUAGAAAUAACACUCAACGUUUACGUUUAUGUGGAUUUUUUUAUUGAUUAAUUUAUAUUUUUGUAUUAAUUGGUGGAUUUAGUAUCUUAUAUGUACAAAUUGAUAAUUAGGUGUUCAUGAAGCAAAAAUGAUCAAAGAGUGCGAAAAGAGUUGCAAUUAGGAAAAUAAAAUCAAAUUAGAAGAGAGGAUCCAUCAACAUCUUCGGUAGUCUCCACGAAGUCGAGCAUAACUUUCUCAUCCGGACUCCAAAUCAAUUGGUUCCGGCGGCAUUAGAAAGCUAUUUUAGCUGGCUACAAUUCCUGUCUAAUGUCAAAUUUCCAAAUUCGGACUCGAACAUGGCCAAAAUCAGAUUCCAAAAGCGAUCAUGAAAAUACGUGCUACAGUACGAGAACACGAAUGCGCAUCAAGAAACGUGCACAAAAAGACACGCUACAAAAUAUACGCACACAAGUAAAAGUACAAAAGCAUGCACAAAAGUACUCACGCAAAAGUACAUUCGCAAAAAGGAUCACGAAAACACAAACUACAAUCCUAGGACAUUAAUACAAAUCAACAAACAUGCACAAACACACUCGCUCAAAUGGACAUGCACAAACGUACAUGUAAAAAAAUAUGAACAAAAGUGCAUUCGCAACAACGUUCUUAAAAACACGAAAUACAACACUAGGACUUUAAUAAGCAUAACCAAACAAUAGCAUACAAAAGAUACAGUGGAGUGUAGAAAUAACACUUAACGUUUACGUUUACGUGGAGUUUUUUAUGGAUUAAUUUAUAUUUUUGUUUUAAUUAGUGGAUUUCGUAUCUUCUUAUAGGUACAAAUUGAUAAUUAGGUGUCCAUGAAGCAAAAAUGAUCAAAGAGUACGAAAAGAGUUGCAAUUAGGAAAAUAAAAUCAAAUUAGAAGAGAGGAUCCCUCAACAUCUUCGGUAGUGUCCACGAAGUCGAGCAUAACUUUCUCAUCCGGACUCCAAAUCAACUGGUUCCGGCGGCAUUAGAAACCUAUUUUAGCUGGCUACAAUUCCUAUCUAAUAUCAAAUUUCCAAAUUCGGACUCGAACAUGGUCAAAAUUGGAUGCAAAAAGUGAUCAUGAAAAUACGUGCUACAGUUCGAGGACACGAAUGCGCAUCAAAAAACGCGCACUAAAACACUCGCUACAAAAGAUACGCACGUAAGUAAAAGUACAAAAGCAUGCACAGAAGUACUCACGCAAAAGUGCAUUCGCAAAAAGGAUCACGAAAACACAAACUACAAUCCUAUGACAUUAAUACAAAUCAACAAACAUGCACAAACACACUCGCUCAAAUGGACAUGCACAAACGUACAUGUAAAAAAAUAUGAGCAAAAGUGCAUUCGCAACAACGUUCUUAAAAACACGAAAUACAACACUAGGACUUUAAUACGCAUAACCAAACAAUAGCAAACACACUAAAUACAAAAGAUACAGUGGAGUGUAGAAAUAACACUCAACGUUUACGUUUAUGUGGAUUUUUUUAUUGAUUAAUAUAUAUUUUUGUAUUAAUUGGUGGAUUUAGUAUCUUAUAUGUACAAAUUGAUAAUUAGGUGUCCAUGAAGCAAAAAUGAUCAAAGAGUACGAAAAGAGUUGCAAUUAGGAAAAUAAAAUCAAAUUAGAAGAGAGGAUCCCAAAACAUCUUCGGUAGUGUCCACGAAGUCGAGCAUAACUUUCUCAUCCGGACUCCAAAUCAACUGGUUCCGGCGGAAUUAGAAACCUAUUUUAGCUGGCUACAAUUCCUAUCUAAUAUCAAAUUUCCGAAUUCGGACCAGAACAUGGUCAAAAUUGGAUGCAAAAAGUGAUCAUGAAAAUACGUGCUACAGUUCGAGGACACGAAUGCGCAUCAAAAAACUUGCACUAAAACACUCGCUACAAAAGAUACGCACGUAAGUAGAAGUACAAAAGCAUGCACAGAAGUACUCACGCAAAAGUGCAUUCGCAAAAAGGAUCACGAAAACACAAACUACAAUCCUAUGACAUUAAUACAAAUCAACAAACAUGCACAAACACACUCGCUCAAAUGGACAUGCACAAACGUACAUGUAAAAAAAUAUGCGCAAACGUACAUUCGCAACAACGUUCUUAAAAACACGAAAUACAACACUAGGACUUUAAUACGCAUAACCAAACAAUAGCAUACAAAAGAUACAGUGGAGUGUAGAAAUAACACUUAACGUUUACGUUUACGUGGAGUUUAUUAUGGAUUAAUUUAUAUUUUUGUUUUAAUUAGUGGAUUUCGUAUCUUCUUAUGCUUUGGUUGAUAAUUAGGUGUCCAUGAAGCAAAAAUGAUCAAAGAGUACGAAAAGAGUUGCAAUUAGGAAAAUAAAAUCAAAUUAGAAGAGAGGAUCCCUCAACAUCUUCGGUAGUGUCCACGAAGUCGAGCAUAACUUUCUCAUCCGGACUCCAAAUCAAUUGGUUCCGGCGGCAUUAGAAACCUAUUUUAGCUGGCUACAAUUCCUAUCGAAUAUCAAAUUUCCAAAUUCGACCUCGAACAUGGUCAAAAUUGGAUGCAAAAAGUGAUCAUGAAAAAACGUGCUACAGUUCGAGGACACGAAUGCGCAUCAAAAAACGCGCACUAAAACACUCGCUACAAAAGAUACGCACGUAAGUAAAAGUACAAAAGCAUGCACAGAAGUACUCACGCAAAAGUGCAUUCGCAAAAAGGAUCACGAAAACACAAACUACAAUCCUAUGACAUUAAUAUAAAUCAACAAACAUGCACAAACACACUCGCUCAAAUGGACAUGCACAAACGUACAUGUAAAAAAAUAUGCGCAAAAGUACAUUCGCAACAACGUUCUUAAAAACACGAAAUACAACACUAGGACUUUAAUACGCAUAACCAAACAUUAGCAAACACACUAAAUACAAAAGAUACAGUGGAGUGUAGAAAUAACACUCAACGUUUACGUUUAUGUGGAUUUUUUUAUUGAUUAAUUUAUAUUUUUGUAUUAAUUGGUGGAUUUAGUAUCUUAUAUGUACAAAUUGAUAAUUAGGUGUCCAUGAAGCAAAAAUGAUCAAAGAGUACGAAAAGAGUUGCAAUUAGGAAAAUAAAAUCAAAUUAGAAGAGAGGAUCCCAAAACAUCUUCGGUAGUGUCCACGAAGUCGAGCAUAACUUUCUCAUCCGGACUCCAAAUCAACUGGUUCCGGCGGAAUUAGAAACCUAUUUUAGCUGGCUACAAUUCCUAUCUAAUAUCAAAUUUCCGAAUUCGGACCAGAACAUGGUCAAAAUUGGAUGCAAAAAGUGAUCAUGAAAAUACGUGCUACAGUUCGAGGACACGAAUGCGCAUCAAAAAACGCGCACUAAAACACUCGCUACAAAAGAUACGCACGUAAGUAGAAGUACAAAAGCAUGCACAGAAGUACUCACGCAAAAGUGCAUUCGCAAAAAGGAUCACGAAAACACAAACUACAAUCCUAUGACAUUAAUACAAAUCAACAAACAUGCACAAACACACUCGCUCAAAUGGACAUGCACAAACGUACAUGUAAAAAAAUAUGCGCAAAAGUACAUUCGCAACAACGUUCUUAAAAACACGAAAUACAACACUAGGACUUUAAUACGCAUAAAACAAUAGCAAACACACUAAAUACAAAAGAUACAGUGGAGUGUAGAAAUAACACUCAACGUUUACGUUUAUGUGGAUUUUUUUUUUGAUUAAUAUAUAUUUUUGUAUUAAUUGGUGGAUUUAGUAUCUUAUAUGUACAAAUUGAUAAUUAGGUGUCCAUGAAGCAAAAAUGAUCAAAGAGUACGAAAAGCGUUACAAUUAGGAAAAUAAAAUCAAAUUAGAAGAGAGGAUCCCUCAACAUCUUCGGUAGUGUCCACGAAGUCGAGCAUAACUUUCUCAUCCGGACUCCAAAUCAACUUGUUCCGGCGGCAUAAGAAAGCUAUUUUAGCUGGCUACAAUUCCUGUCUAAUGUCAAAUUUCCAAAUUCGGACUCGAACAUGGUCAAAAUUAGAUUCCAAAAGCGAUAAUGAAAAUACGUGCUACAGAACGGGAACACGAAUGCGCAUCAAGAAACGUGCACAAAAACACACGCUACAAAAUAUACGCACACAAGUAAAAGUAGAAAAGCAUGCACAAAAGUACUCACGCAAAAGUACAUUGGCAAAAAGGAUCACGAAAACACAAACUACAAUCCUAGGACAUUAAUACAAAUCAACAAACAUGCACAAACACACUCGCUCAAAUGGACAUGCACAAACGUACAUGUAAAUAAAUAUGAGCAAAAGUGCAUUCGCAACAACGUUCUUAAAAACACGAAAUACAACACUAGGACUUUAAUACGCAUAACCAAACAAUAGCAUACAAAAGAUACUGUGGAGUGUAGAAAUAACACUUAACGUUUACGUUUACGUGGAGUUUUUUAUGGAUUAAUUUAUAUUUUUUGUUUUAAUUAGUGGAUUUCGUAUCUUCUUAUAAGUACAAAUUGAUAAUUAGGUGUCCAUGAAGCAAAAAUGAUCAAAGAGUACGAAAAGCGUUACAAUUAGGAAAAUAAAAUCAAAUUAGAAGAGAGGAUCCCUCAACAUCUUCGGUAGUGUCCACGAAGUCGAGCAUAACUUUCUCAUCCGGACUCCAAAUCAACUUGUUCCGGCGGCAUAAGAAAGCUAUUUUAGCUGGCUACAAUUCCUGUGUAAUGUCAAAUUUCCAAAUUAGGACUCGAACAUGGUCAAAAUUAGAUUCCAAAAGCGAUCAUGAAAAUACGUGCUACAGUACGAGAACAAGAAUGCGCAUCAAGAAACGUGCACUGGGACACGCGCUACCAAAGAUACGCACACAAGUAAAAGUACGAAAGCAUGCACAGAAGUACUCACGCAAAAGUACAUUCGCUAAAAGGAUCACGUAUACACUUACUUACAAUCCUAGGACAUUUAUACAAAUCUACAAACAUGCACAAACACACUCGCUCAAAUGGACAUGCACAAACGUACAUGUAAAUAAAUAUGAGCAAAAGUGCAUUCGCAACAACGUUCUUAAAAACACGAAAUACAACACUAGGACUUUAAUACGCAUAACCAAACAAUAGCAUACAAAAGAUACAGUGGAGUGUAGAAAUAACACUUAACGUUUACGUUUACGUGGAGUUUAUUAUGGAUUAAUUUAUAUUUUUGUUUUAAUUAGUGGAUUUCGUAUCUUCUUAUAGGUACAAAUUGAUAAUUAGGUGUCCAUGAAGCAAAAAUGAUCAAAGAGUACGAAAAGAGUUGCAAUUAGGAAAAUAAAAUCAAAUUAGAAGAGAGGAUCCCUCAACAUCUUCGGUAGUGUCCACAAAGUCGAGCAUAACUUUCUCAUCCGGACUCCAAAUCAACUGGUUCCGGCGGCAUUAGAAACCUAUUUUAGCUGGCUACAUAACCUAUCUAAUAUCAAAUUUCCAAAUUCGGACUCGAACAUGGUCAAAAUUGGAUGCAAAAAGUGAUCAUGAAAAUACGUGCUACAGUUCGAGGACACGAAUGCGAAUCAAAAAACACGCACUAAAACACUCGCUACAAAAGAUACGCACGUAAGUAAAAGUACAAAAGCAUGCACAGAAGUACUCACGCAAAAGUGCAUUCGCAAAAAGGAUCACGAAAACACAAACUACAAUCCUAUGACAUUAAUACAAAUCAACAAACAUGCACAAACACACUCGCUCAAAUGGACAUGCACAAACGUACAUGUAAAUAAAUAUGAGCAAAAGUGCAUUCGCAACAACGUUCUUAAAAACACGAAAUACAAAACUAGGACUUUAAUACGCAUAACCAAACAAUAGCAAAAACACUAAAUACAGAAGAUACAGUGGAGUGUAGAAAUAACACUCAACGUUUACGUUUAUGUGGAUUUUUUUAUUGAUUAAUUGAUAUUUUUGUAUUAAUUGGUGGAUUUAGUAUCUUAUAUGUACAAAUUGAUAAUUAGGUGUCCGUGAAGCAAAAAUGAUCAAAGAGUACGAAAAGAGUUACAAUUAGGAAAAUAAAAUCAAAUUAGAAGAGAGGAUCCCUCAACAUCUUCGGUAGUGUCCACGAAGUCGAGCAUAACGUUCUCAUCCGGACUCCAAAUCAACUUGUUCCGGCGGCAUUAGAAAGCUAUUUUAGCUGGCUACANNNNNNNNNNNNNNNNNNNNNNNNNNNNNNNNNNNNNNNNNNNNNNNNNNNNNNNNNNNNNNNNNNNNNNNNNNNNNNNNNNNNNNNNNNNNNNNNNNNNAAUAUGGUCAAAAUUAGAAUCCAAAAGUGAUCAUGAAAAUACGUGCUACAGUUCGAGGACACGAAUGCGCAUCAAAAAACGCGCACUAAAACACUCGCUACAAAAGAUACGCACGUAAGUAAAAGUACAAAAGCAUGCACAGAAGUACUCACGCAAAAGUGCAUUCGCAAAAAGGAUCACGAAAACACAAACUACAAUCCUAUGACAUUAAUACAAAUCAACAAACAUGCACAAACACACUCGCUCAAAUGGACAUGCACAAACGUACAUGUAAAAAAAUAUGCGCAAAAGUACAUUCGCAACAACGUUCUUAAAAACACGAAAUACAACUCUAGGACUUUAAUACGCAUAACCAAACAAUAGCAAAAACACUAAAUACAAAAGAUACAGUGGGAGUGUAGAAAUAACACUCAACGUUUACGUUUAUGUGGAUUUUUUUAUUGAUUAAUAUAUAUUUUUGUAUUAAUUGGUGGAUUUAGUAUCUUAUAUGUACAAAUUGAUAAUUAGGUGUCCGUGAAGCAAAAAUGAUCAAAGAGUACGAAAAGAGUUACAAUUAGAAAAAAUAAAAUCAAAUUAGAAGAGAGGAUCCCUCAACACAUCUUCGGUAGUGUCCACGAAGUCGAGCAUAACUUUCUCAUCCGGACUCCAAAUCAACUUGUUCCGGCGGCAUUAGAAAGCUAUUUUAGCUGGCUACAAUUCCUGUCUAAUGUCAAAUUUCCAAAUUCGGACUCGAACAUGGUCAAAAUUAGAUUCCAAAAGCGAUCAUGAAAAUACGUGCUACAGUACGAGAACACGAAUGCACAUCAAGAAACGUGCACAAAAACACACGCUACAAAAUAUACGCACACAAGUAAAAGUACAAAAGCAUGCACAAAAGUACUCACGCAAAAGUACAUUCGCAAAAAGGAUCACGAAAACACAAACUACAAUCCUAGGACAUUAAUACAAAUCAACAAACAUGCACAAACACACUCGCUCAAAUGGACAUGCACAAACGUACAUGUAAAAAAAUAUGAGCAAAAUUGCAUUCGCAACAACGUUCUUAAAAACAAGAAAUACAACACUAGGACUUUAAUACGCAUAACCAAACAAUUGCAUACAAAAGAUACAGUGGAGUGUUGAAAUAACACUUAACGUUUACGUUUACGUGGAGUUUUUUAUGGAUUAAUUUAUAUUUUUGUUUUAAUUGGUGGAUUUAGUAUCUUCUUAUAGGUACAAAUUGAUAAUUAGGUGUCCAUGAAGCAAAAAUGAUCAAAGAGUACGAAAAGAGUUGCAAUUAGGAAAAUAAAAUCAAAUUAGAAGAGAGGAUCCCUCAACAUCUUCGGUAGUGUCCACGAAGUCGAGCAUAACUUUCUCAUCCGGACUCCAAAUCAACUGGUUCCGACGGCAUUAGAAACCUAUUUUAGCUGGCUACAAUUUCUAUCUAAUAUCAAAUUUCCAAAUUCGGACUCGAACAUGGUCAAAAUUGGAUGCAAAAAGUGAUCAUGAAAAUACGUGCUACAGUUCGAGGACACGAAUGCGCAUCAAAAAACGCGCACUAAAACACACGCUACAAAAGAUACGCACGUAAGUAAAAGUACAAAAGCAUGCACAAAAGUACUCACGCAAAAGUGCAUUCACAAAAAGGAUCACGAAAACACAAACUACAAUCCUAUGACAUUAAUACAAAUCAACAAACAUGCACAAACACACUCGCUCAAAUGGACAUGCACAAACGUACAUGUAAAAAAAUAUGCGCAAAAGUACAUUCGCAACAACGUUCUUAAAAACACGAAAUACAACACUAGGACUUUAAUACGCAUAACCAAACAAUAGCAAAAACACUAAAUACAAAAGAUACAGUGGGAGUGUAGAAAUAACACUCAACGUUUACGUUUAUGUGGAUUUUUUUAUUGAUUAAUAUAUAAUUUUGUAUUAAUUGGUGGAUUUAGUAUCUUAUAUGUACAAAUUGAUAAUUAGGUGUCCAUGAAGCAAAAAUGAUCAAAGAGUACGAAGAGAGUUACAAUUAGGAAAAAAAUCAAAUUAGAAGAGAGGAUCCCUCAACAUCUUCGGUAGUGUCCACGAAGUCGAGCAUAACUUUCUCAUCCGGACUCCAAAUCAACUUGUUCCGGCGGCAUUAGAAAGCUAUUUUAGCUGGCUACAAUUCCUGUCUAAUGUCAAAUUUCCAAAUUCGGACUCGAACAUGGUCAAAAUUAGAUUCCAAAAGCGAUCAUGAAAAUACGUGCUACAGUACGAGAACACGAAUGCGCAUCAAGAAAUGUGCACAAAAACACACGCUACAAAAUAUACGCACACAAGUAAAAGUACAAAAGCAUGCACAAAAGUACUCACGCAAAAGUACAUUCGCAAAAAGGAUCACGAAAACACAAACUACAAUCCUAGGACAUUAAUACAAAUCAACAAACAUGCACAAACACACUCGCUCAAAUGGACAUGCACAAACGUACAUGUAAAAAAAUAUGAGCAAAAGUGCAUUCGCAACAACGUUCUUAAAAACAAGAAAUACAACACUAGGACUUUAAUACGCAUAACCAAACAAUAGCAAAAACACUAAAUACAAAAGAUACAGUGGAGUGUAGAAAUAACACUUAACUUUUACGUUUACGUGGAGUUUUUUAUGGAUUAAUUUAUAUUUUUGUUUUAAUUGGUGGAUUUAGUAUCUUCUUAUAGGUACAAAUUGAUAAUUAGGUGUCCAUGAAGCAAAAAUGAUCAAAGAGUACGAAAAGAGUUGCAAUUAGGAAAAUAAAAUCAAAUUAGAAGAGAGGAUCCCUCAACAUCUUCGGUAGUGUCCACGAAGUCGAGCAUAACUUUCUCAUCCGGACUCCAUAUCAACUGGCUCCGGCGGCAUUAGAAACCUAUUUUAGCUGGCUACAAUUCCUAUCUAAUAUCAAAUUUCCAAAUUCGGACUCGAACAUGGUCAAAAUUGGAUGCAAAAAGUGAUCAUGAAAAUACGUGCUACAGUUCGAGGACACGAAUGCGCAUCAAAAAAUGCGCACUAAAACACUCGCUACAAAAGAUACGCACGUAAGUAAAAGUACAAAAGCAUGCACAGAAGUACUCACGCAAAAGUGCAUUCGCAAAAAGGAUCACGAAAACACAAACUACAAUUCUAUGACAUUAAUACAAAUCAACAAACAUGCACAAACACACUCGCUCAAAUGGACAUGCAUAAACGUACAUGUAAAAAAAUAUGCGCAAAAGUACAUUCGCAACAACGUUCUUAAGAACACGAAAUACAACACCAGGACUUUAAUACGCAUAACCAAACAAUAGCAAAAACACUAAAUACAAAAGAUACAGUGGAGUGUAGAAAUAACACUCAACGUUUACGUUUAUGUGGAUUUUUUUAUGGAUUAAUUUAUAUUUUUGUAUUAAUUGGUGGAUUUAGUAUCUUAUAUGUACAAAUUGAUAAUUAGUUGUCCAUGAAGCAAAAAUUAUCAAAGAGUACGAAAAGAGUUACAAUUAGGAAAAUAAAAUCAAAUUAGAAGAGAGGAUCCCUCAACAUCUUCGGUAGUGUCCACGAAGUCGAGCAUAACUUUCUCAUCCGGAUUCCAAAUCAACUUGUUCCGGCGGCAUUAGAAAGCUAUUUUAGCUGGCUACAAUUCCUGUCUAAUGUCAAAUUUCCAAAUUCGGACUCGAACAUGGUCAAAAUUAGAUUCCAAAAGCGAUCAUGAAAAUACGUGCUACAGUACGAGAACACGAAUGCGCAUCAAGAAACGUGCACAAAAACACACGCUACAAAAUAUACGCACACAAGUAAAAGUACAAAAGCAUGCACAAAAGUACUCACGCAAAAGUACAUUCGCAAAAAGGAUCACGAAAACACAAACUACAAUCCUAGGACAUUAAUACAAAACAACAAACAUGCACAAACACACUCGCUCAAAUGGACAUGCACAAACGUACAUGUAAAAAAAUAUGAGCAAAAGUGCAUUCGCAACAACGUUCUUAAAACACAAGAAAUACAACACUAGGACUUUAAUACGCAUAACCAAACAAUAGCAAAAACACUAAAUACAAAAGAUACAGUGGAGUGUAGAAAUAACACUUAACUUUUACGUUUACGUGGAGUUUUUUAUGGAUUAAUUUAUAUUUUUGUUUUAAUUGGUGGAUUUAGUAUCUUCUUAUAGGUACAAAUUGAUAAUUAGGUGUCCAUGAAGCAAAAAUGAUCAAAGAGUACGAAAAGAGUUGCAAUUAGGAAAAUAAAAUCAAAUUAGAAGAGAGGAUCCCUCAACAUCUUCGGUAGUGUCCACGAAGUCGAGCAUAACUUUCUCAUCCGGACUCCAAAUCAACUGGUUCCGGCGGCAUUAGAAACCUAUUUUAGCUGGCUACAAUUCCUAUCUAAUAUCAAAUUUCCAAAUUCGGACUCGAACAUGGUCAAAAUUGGAUGCAAAAAGUGAUCAUGAAAAUACGUGCUACAGUUCGAGGACACGAAUGCGCAUCAAAAAACGCGCACUAAAACACUCGCUACAAAAGAUACGCACGUAAGUAAAAGUACAAAAGCAUGCACAGAAGUACUCACGCAAAAGUGCUUCGCAAAAAGGAUCACGAAAACACAAGCUACAAUCCUAUGACAUUAAUACAAAUCAACAAACAUGCACAAACACACUCGCUCAACUAGACAUGCACAAACGUACAUGUAAAAAAAUAUGCGCAAAAGUACAUUCGCAACAACGUUCUUAAAAACACGAAAUACAACAACACUAGGACUUUAAUACGCAUAACCAAACAAUAGCAAAAACACUAAAUACAAAAGAUACAGUAGAGUGUAGAAAUAACACUCAACGUUUAAGUUUAUGAGCAUUUUUUUAUUGAUUAAUUUAUAUUUUUGUAUUAAUUGGUGGAUUUAGUAUCUUAUAUGUACAAAUUGAUAAUUAGGUGUCCAUGAAGCAAAAAUGAUCAAAGAGUACGAAAAGAGUUACAAUUAAGAAAAUAAAAUCAAAUUAGAAGAGAGGAUCCCACAACAUCUUCGGUAGUGUCCACGAAGUCGAGCAUAACUUUCUCAUCCGGACUUCAAAUCAACUUGUUCCGGCGGCAAUAGAAAGCUAUUUAUUAGCUGGCUACAAUUCCUGUAUAAUGUCAAAUUUCCAAAUUCGGACUCGAACAUGGUCAAAAUUAGAUUCCAAAAGCGAUCAUGAAAAUACGUUCUACAGUACGAGAACACGAAUGCGCAUCAAGAAACGUGCACAAAAACACACGCUACAAAAUAUACGCACACAAGUAAAAGUACAAAAGCAUUUACAAAAGUAUUCACGCAAAAGUACAUUCGCAAAAAGGAUCACGAAAACACAAACUAAAAUCCUAGGACAUUAAUACAAAUCAACAAACAUGCACAAACACACUCGCUCAAAUUGACAUGCACAAACGUACAUGUGAAAAAAUAUGCGCAAAAGUGCAUUCGCAACAAUGUUCUUAAAAACACGAAAUACAACACUAGGACUUUAAUACGCAUAACCAAACAAUAGCAAAAACACUAAAUACAAAAGAUACAGUGGAGUGUAGAAAUAACACUCAACGUUUACGUUUACGUGGAGUUUUUUAUGGAUUAAUUUAUAUUAUUCUUUUAAUAGGUGGAUUUAGUAUCUUAUAGGUACAAAUUGUUAAUUAGGUGUCCAUGAAACAAAAAUGAUCAAAGAGUACGAAAAGAGUUACAAUUAGGAAAAUAAAAUCAAAUUUGAUGAGAGGAUCCCUCAACAUCUUCGGUAGUGUCCACGAAGUCGAGCAUAACUUUCUCAUCCGGACUCCAAAUCAACUUGUUCCGGCGGCAUUAGAAAGCUAUUUUAGCUGGCUACAAUUCCUGUCUAAUGUCAAAUUUCCAAAUUCGGACUCGAACAUGGUCAAAAUUAGAUUCCAAAAGCGGUCAUGAAAAUACGUGCUACAGUACGAGAACUCGAAUGCGCAUCAAGAAACGUGCACAAAAACACACGCUACCAAAUAUACGCACAUAAGUAAAAGUACAAAAGCAUGCACAAAAGUACUCACGCAAAAGUGCAUUCGCAAAAAGGAUCACGAAAACACAAACUACAAUCCUGGGACAUUAAUACAAAUCAACAAACAUGCACAAACACACUCGCUCAAACGUACAUGUGAAAAAAUAUGCGCAAAAGUGCAUUCGCAACAACGUUUUUAAAAACAAGAAAUACAACACUAGGACUUUAAUACGCAUAACCAAACAAUAGCAAAAACACUAAAUACAAAAGAUACAGUGGAAUGUAGAAAUAACACUCAACGUUUACGUUUACGUGGAGUUUUUUAUGGAUUAAUUUAUAUUUUUGUUUUAAUUGGUGGAUUUAGUAUCUUAUAGGUACAAAUUGAUAAUUAGGUGUCCAUGAAGCAAAAAUGAUCAAAGAGUACGAAAAGAGUUGGAAUUAGGAAAAUAAAAUCAAAUUAGAAGAGAGGAUCCCUCAACAUCUUCGGUAGUGUCCACGAAGUCGAGCAUAACUUUCUCAUCCGGACUCCAAAUCAACUUGUUCCGGCGGCAUUAGAAAGCUAUUUUAGCUGGCUACAAUUCCUAUCUAAUAUCAAAUUUCCAAAUUCGGACUCGAACAUGGUCAAAAUUAGAUUCCAAAAGCGAUCAUGAAAAAGCGUGCUACAGUACGAGAACACGAAUGCGCAUCAAGAAAUGUGUACAAAAACACACGCUACAAAAUAUACGCACAUAAGUAAAAGUACAAAAGCAUGUACAAAAGUACUCACGCAAAAGUGCAUCCGCAAAAAGUAUCACGAAAACACAAACUACAAUCCUAGGACAUUAAUACAAAUCAACAAACAUGCACAAACACACUCGCUCAAAUGGACAUGCACAAACGUACAUGUGAAAAAAUAUGCGCAGAAGUGCAUUCGCAACAACGUUCUUAAAAACACGAAAUACAACACUAGGAAUUUAAUACGCAUAACCAAACAAUAGCAAAAACUCUAAUACAAAAGAUACAUUGGAGUGUAGAAAUAACACUCAACGUUUACGUUUACGUGGAGUUUUUUAUGGAUUAAUUUAUAUUUUUGUUUUAAUUGGUGGAUUUAGUAUCUUAUAGGUACAAAUUGAUAAUUAGGUGUCCAUGAAGCAAAAAUGAUCAAAGAGUACGAAAAGAGUUGCAAUUGGGAAAAUAAAAUGAAAUUAGAAGAGAGGAUCCCUCAACAUCUUCGGUAGUGUCCACGAAGUCGAGCAUAACUUUCUCAUCCGGACUCCAAAUCAACUGGUUCCGGCGGCAUUAGAAACCUAUUUUAGCUGGCUACAAUUCCUGUCGAAUGUCAAAUUUCCAAAUUCGGACUCGAACAUGGUCAAAAUUGGAUUCCAAAAGUGAUCAUGAAAGUACGUGCUAUAGUUCGAGGACACGAAUGCGCAUCAAAAAACGCGCACUAAAACACUCGCUACAAAACAUACGCACAUAAGUAAAAGUACAAAAGCAUGCACAAAAGUACUCACGCAAAAGUGCAUUCGCAAAAAGUAUCACGAAAACACAAACUACAAUCCUAGGACAUUAAUACAAAUCAACAAACAUGCACAAACACACUCGCUCAAAUGGACAUGCACAAACGUACAUGUAAAAAAAUAUGCGCAAAAGUACAUUCGCAACAACGUUCUGAAAAACACGAAAUACAACACUAGGACUUUAAUACGCAUAACCAAACAAUAGCAAAAACACUAAAUACAAAAGAUACAGUGGAGUGUAGAAAUAAAACUCAACGUUUACGUUUACGUGGAGUUUUUUAUGGAUUAAUUUAUAUUUUUGUUUUAAUUGGUGGAUUUAGUAUCUUAUACGUACAAAUUGAUAAUUAGGUGUCCAUGAAGCAAAAAUGAUCAAAGAGUACGAAAAGAGUUGGAAUUAGGAAAAUAAAAUCAAAUUAGAAGAUUAGGAAAAUAAAAUCAAAUUAGUAGUGUCCACGAAGUCGAGCAUAACUUUCUCAUCCGGACUCCAAAUCAACUGGUUCCGGCGGCAUUGGAAACCUAUUUUAGCUGGCUACAAUUUCGGUCUAAUGUCAAAUUUCCAAAUUCGGACUCGAACAUUUUCAAAAUUAGAUUCCAAAAGCGAUCAUGAAAAAACGUGCUACAGUACGAGAACACGAAUGCGCAUCAAGAAAUGUGUACAAAAACACACGCUACAAAAUAUACGCACAUAAGUAAAAGUACAAAAGCAUGCACAAAAGUACUCACGCAAAAGUGCAUCCGCAAAAAGUAUCACGAAAACACAAACUACAAUCCUAGGACAUUAAUACAAAUCAACAAACAUGCACAAACACACUCGCUCAAAUGGACAUGCACAAACGUACAUGUGAAAAAAUAUGCGCAAAAGUGCAUUCGCAACAACGUUCUUAAAAACACGAAAUACAACACUAGGACUUUAAUACGCAUAACCAAACAAUAGCAAAAACACUAAAUACAAAAGAUACAGUGGAGUGUAGAAAUAACACUCAACGUUUACGUUUACGUGGAGUUUUUUAUGGAUUAAUUUAUAUUUUUGUUUUAAUUGGUGGAUUUAGUAUCUUAUAGGUACAAAUUGAUAAUUAGGUGUCCAUGAAGCAAAAAUGAUCAAAGAGUACGAAAAGAGUUGCAAUUAGGAAAAUAAAAUGAAAUUAGAAGAGAGGAUCCCUCAACAUCUUCGGUAGUGUCCACGAAGUCGAGCAUAACUUUCUCAUCCGGACUCCAAAUCAACUGGUUCCGGCGGCAUUAGAAACCUAUUUUAGCUGGCUACAAUUCCUGUCGAAUGUCUAAUUUCCAAAUUCGGACUCGAACAUGGUCAAAAUUGGAUUCCAAAAGUGAUCAUGAAAGUACGUGCUACAGUUCGAGGACACGAAUGCGCAUAAAAAAACGCGCACUAAAACACUCGCUACAAAAGAUACGCACAUAAGUAAAAGUACAAAAGCAUGCACAAAAGUACUCACGCAAAAGUGCAUUCGCAAAAAGUAUCACGAAAACACAAACUACAAUCCUAGGACAUUAAUACAAAUCAACAAACAUGCACAAACACACUCGCUCAAAUGGACAUGCACGAACGUACAUGUGAAAAAAUAUGAGCAAAAGUGCAUUCGCAACAACGUUCUUAAAAACACGAAAUACAACACUAGGACUUUAAUACGCAUAACCAAACAAGAGCAAAAACACUAAAUACAAAAUAUACAGUUGAGUGUAGAAAUAACACUCAAUGUUUACGUUUACGUGGAUUUUUUUAUUGAUUAAUUUAUAUUUUUGUAUUAAUUGGUGGAUUUAGUAUCUUAUAUGUACAAAUUGAUAAUUAGGUGUCCAUGAAGCAAAAAUGAUCAAAGAGUAAGAAAAGAGUUGCAAUUAGGAAAAUAAAAUCAAAUUAGAAGAGAUGAUCCCUCAACAUCUUCGGUAGUGUCCACGAAGUCGAGCAUAAGUUUCUCAUCCGGACACCAAAUCAACUAGUUCCAGCGGCAUUAGAAAGCUAUUUUAGCUGGCUACAAUUCCUGUCUAAUGUCAAAUUUCCAAAUUCGUACUCGAACAUGGUCAAAAUUAGAUUCCAAAAGCGAUCAUGAAAAUACGUGCUAUAGCACGAGAACACGAAUGCGCAUCCAGAAACGUGCACAGAAACACACGCUACAAAAUAUACGCACAUAAGUAAAAGUACAAAAGCAUGCACAAAAGUACUCACGCAAAAGUGCAUUCGCAAAAAGGAUCACGAAUACACAAACUACAAUCCUAGGACAUUAAUACAAAUCAACAAACAUGCACAAACACACUCGCUCAAAUGGACAUGCACAAACGUACAUGUGAAAAUAUAUGCGCAAAAUCGCAUUCGCAACAACGUUCUUAAAAACACGAAAUACAACACUAGGACUUUAAUACGCAUAACCAAACAAUACCAAAAACACUAAAUACAAAAGAUACAGUGGAGUGUAGAAAUAACACUCAACGGUUACGUUUACGUGGAGUUUUUUAUGGAUUAAUUUAUAUUUUUGUUUUAAUUGGUGGAUUUAGUAUCUUAUAGGUACAAAUUGAUAAUUAGGUGUCCAUGAAGCAAAUAUGAUCAAAGAGUACGAAAAGAGUUGCAAUUAGGAAAAUAAAAUCAAAUUAGAAGAGAGGAUCCCUCAACAUCUUCGGUAGUGUCCACGAAGUCGAGCAUAACUUUCUCAUCCGGACUCCAAAUCAACUAGUUCCAGCGGCAUUAGAAAGCUAUUUUAGCUGGCUACAAUUCCUGUCUAAUGUCAAAUUUCCAAAUUCGGACUCGAACAUGGUCAAAAUUAGAUUCCAAAAGCGGUCAUGAAAAUACGUGCUACAGUACGAGAACUCGAAUGCGCAUCAAGAAACGUGCACAAAAACACCCGCUACAAAAUAUACGCACAUAAGUAAAAUUACAAAAGCAUGCACAACAGUACUCACGCAAAAGUGCAUUCGCAAAAAGGAUCACGAAAACACAAACUACAAUCCUAGGACAUUAAUACAAAUCAACAAACAUGCACAAACACACUCGCUCAAACGUACAUGUGAAAAAAUAUGCGCAAAAGUGCAUUCGCAACAACGUUCUUAAAAACACGAAAUACAACACUAGGACUUUAAUACGCAUAAUCAAACAAUAGCAAAAACACUAAAUACAAAAGAUACAGUGGAGUGUAGAAAUAACACUCAACGUUUACGUUUACGUGUAGUUUUUUAUGGAUUAAUUUAUAUUUUUGUUUUAAUUGGUGGAUUUAGUAUCUUAUAGGUACAAAUUGAUAAUUAGGUGUCCAUUAAGCAAAAAUGAUCAAAGAGUACGAAAAGAGUUGGAAUUAGGAAAAUAAAAUCAAAUUAGAAGAGAGGAUCCCUCAACAUCUUCGGUAGUGUCCACGAAGUCGAGCAUAACUUUCUCAUCCGGACUCCAAAUCAACUAGUUCCGGCGGCAUCGGAAACCUAUUUUAGCAGGCUACAAUUUCUGUCUAAUGUCAAAUUUCCAAAUUCGGACUCGAACAUUUUCAAAAUUAGAUUCCAAAAGCGAUCAUGAAAAAACGUGCUACAGUACGAGAAUACGAAUGCACAUCAAGAAAUGUGUACAAAAACACACGCUACAAAAUAUACGCACAUAAGUAAAAGUACAAAAGCAUGCACAAAAGUACUCACGCAAAAGUGCAUUCGCAAAAAGGAUCACGAAAACACAAACUACAAUCCUAGGAUAUUAAUACAAAUCAACAAACAUGCACAAACACACUCGCUCAAAUGGACAUGCACAAACGUACAUGUGAAAAAAUAUGCGCAAAAGUGCAUUCGCAACAACGUUCUUAAAAACACGAAAUACAACACUAGGACUUUAAUACGCAUAACCAAACAAUAGCAAAAACACUAAAUACAAAAGAUACAGUGGAGUGUAGAAAUAACACUCAACGUUUACGUUUACGUGGAGUUUUUUAUGGAUUAAUUUAUAUUUUUGUUUUAAUUGGUGGAUUUAGUAUCUUAUAGGUACAAAUUUAUAAUUAGGUGUCCAUGAAGCAAAAAUGAUCAAAGAGUACGAAAAGAGUUGCAAUUAGGAAAAUAAAAUGAAAUUAGAAGAGAGGAUCCCUCAACAUCUUCGGUACUGUCCACGAAGUCGAGCAUAACUUUCUCAUUCGGACUCCAAAUCAACUGAUUCCGGCGGCAUUAGAAACCUAUUUUAGCUGGCUACAAUUCCUGUCGAAUGUCAAAUUUCCAAAUUCGGAUUCGAACAUGGUCAAAAUUGGAUUCCAAAAGUGAUCAUGAAAGUACGUGCUACAGUUCGAGGACACGAAUGCGCAUAAAAAAAUGCGCACUAAAACACUCGCUACAAAAGAUACGCAGAUAAGUAAAAGUACAAAAGCAUGCACAAAAGUACUCACGCAAAAGUGCAUUCGCAAAAAGUAUCACGAAAACACAAACUACAAUCCUAGGACAUUAAUACAAAUCAACAAACAUGCACAAACACACUCGCUCAAAUGGACAUGCACAAACGUACAUGUAAAAAAAUAUGCGCAAAAGUACAUUCGCAACAACGUUCUGAAAAACACGAAAUACAACACUAGGACUUUAAUACGCAUAACCAAACAAUAGCAAAAACACUAAAUACAAAAGAUACAGUGGAGUGUAGAAAUAACACUCAACGUUUACGUUUACGUGGAUUUUUUUAUGGAUUAAUUUAUAUUUUUGUUUUAAUUGGUGGAUUUAGUAUCUUAUAGGUACAAAUUGAUAAUUAGGUGUCCAUGAAGCAAAAAUGAUCAAAGAGUACGAAAAGAGUUACAAUUAGGAAAAUAAAAUCAAAUUAGAAGAGAGGAUCCCUCAACAUCUUCGGUAGUGUCUACGAAGUCAAGCAUAACUUUCUCAUCCGGACUCCAAAUCAACUUGUUCCGGCGGCAGUAGAAAGCUAUUUAAGCUGGCUACAAUUCCUUUCUAAUGUCAAAUUUCCAAAUUCGGACUCGAACAUGGUCAAAAUUAGAUUCCAAAACCGAUCAUGAAAAUACGUGCUACAGUUCGAGGACACGAAUGCGCAUCAAGUAACGUGCAUAAAAACACUCGCUACAAAAUAUACGCACAUAAGUAAAAGUACAAAAGCAUGCACAAAAGUACUCACGCAAAAGUGCAUUCGCAAAAAGGAUCACGGAAACACAAACUACAAUCCUAGGACAUUAAUACAAAUCAACAAACAUGCACAAAUACACUCGCUCAAAUGGACAUGCACAAACGUACAUGUAAAAAAACAUGCCCAAAAGUGCAUUCGCAACAACGUUCUUAAAAACACGAAAUACAACACUAGGACUUUAAUACGCAUACCAAAACAAUAGCAAAAACACUAAAUACAAAAGAUACAGUGGGGUGUAGAAAUAACACUCAACGUUUACGUUUACGUGGAGUUUUUUAUGGAUUAAUUUAUAUUUUUGUUUUAGUUGGUGGAUUUAGUAUCUUAUAGGUAUAAAUUGAUAAUUAGGUGUCCAUGAAGCAAAAAUGAUCAAAGAGUACGAAAAGAGUUACAAUUAGGAAAAUAAAAUCAAAUUAGAAGAGAGGAUCCCUCAACAUCUUCGGUAGUGUCUACGAAGUCAAGCAUAACUUUCUCAUUCGGACUCCAAAUCAACUUGUUCCGGCGGCAGUAGAAAGCUAUUUAAGCUGGCUACAAUUCCUUUCUAAUGUCAAAUUUCCAAAUUCGGACUCGAACAUGGUCAAAAUUAGAUUCCAAAACCGAUCAUGAAAAUACGUGCUACAGUUCGAGGACACGAAUGCGCAUCAAGCAACGUGCACAAAAACACACGCUACAAAAUAUACGCACAUAAGUAAAAGUACAAAACCAUGCACAAAAGUACUCACGCAAAAGUGCAUUCGCAAAAAGGAUCACGAAAACACAAACUACAAUCCUAGGACAUUCAUACAAAUCAACAAACAUGCACAAACACACUCGCUCAAAUGGACAUGCACAAACGUACAUGUGAAAAAAUAUGCGCAAAAGUGCAUUCGCAACAACGUUCUUAAAAACACGAAAUACAACACUAGGACUUUAAUACGCAUAACCAAACAAUAGCAAAAACACUAAAUACAAANNNNNNNNNNNNNNNNNNNNNNNNNNNNNNNNNNNNNNNNNNNNNNNNNNNNNNNNNNNNNNNNNNNNNNNNNNNNNNNNNNNNNNNNNNNNNNNNNNNNNNNNNNNNNNNNNNNNNNNNNNNNNNNNNNNNNNNNNNNNNNNNNNNNNNNNNNNNNNNNNNNNNNNNNNNNNNNNNNNNNNNNNNNNNNNNNNNNNNNNNNNNNNNNNNNNNNNNNNNNNNNNNNNNNNNNNNNNNNNNNNNNNNNNNNNNNNNNNNNNNNNNNNNNNNNNNNNNNNNNNNNNNNNNNGCAAUUUUAGCAUGCUACAAUUCCUGUCUAAUUUUAAAUUUCCAAAUUCGAACUCGAACAUGGUAAAAAUUGGAUUCCAAAAGCGAUCAUGGAAAUACGUGCUACAGUACGGGGACAUGAAUGCGCAUCAAGAAACGUGCACAAAAGCACUCGCUACAAAAUAUACGCACAUAAGUAAAAGUACAAUAGCAUGCACAAAAGUUCACACGCAAAAGUGCAUUCGCAAAAAGGAUCAUGAAAACACAAGCUACAGUCCUAGGACAUUAAUACAAAUCCACAAACUUGCACAAACAAACUCGCUCAAAUGGACAUGCACAAACGUACAUGUAAAAAAUAUGCGCAAGAGUGCAUUCGCAACAACGUUCUUUAAAACACGAAAUACAACACUAUGACUUUAAUGCACAUAACCAAACAAUAGCAAAAACACUAAAUACAAAUUAUAGAGUGGAGUGUAGAAAUAACACUCAACGUUUAAGUUUACGUGGAUUUUUUUAUGGAUUAAUUUAUAUUUUUGUUUUAAUUGGUGGAUUUAGUAUCCUAUAGGUUCAAAUUGAUAAUUAGGUGUCCAUGAAGCAAAAAUGAUCAAAGAGUAAGAAAAGAGUUACAAUUAGGAAAAUAAAAUCAAAUUAGAAGAGAGGAUCCCUCAACAUCUUCGGUAGUGUCCACGAAGUCGAGCAUAACUUUCUCAUCCGGACUCCAAAUGAACUGGUUCCGGCGGCAUUAGAAAGCAAUUUUAGCUGGCUACAAUUCCUGUCUAAUGUCAAAUUUCCAAAUUCGGACUCGAACAUGAUCAAAAUUGGAUUCCAAAAGCGAUCAUGAAAAUACGUGCUACAGUUCGAGGACACGAAUGCGCAUCAAAAAAAGUGUACAAAAACACUCGCUANNNNNNNNNNNNNNNNNNNNNNNNNNNNNNNNNNNNNNNNNNNNNNNNNNNNNNNNNNNNNNNNNNNNNNNNNNNNNNNNNNNNNNNNNNNNNNNNNNNNNNNNNNNNNNNNNNNNNNNNNNNNNNNNNNNNNNNNNNNNNNNNNNNNNNNNNNNNNNNNNNNNNNNNNNNNNNNNNNNNNNNNNNNNNNNNNNNNNNNNNNNNNNNNNNNNNNNNNNNNNNNNNNNNNNNNNNNNNNNNNNNNNNNNNNNNNNNNNNNNNNNNNNNNNNNNNNNNNNNNNNNNNNNNNNNNNNNNNNNNNNNNNNNNNNNNNNNNNNNNNNNNNNNNNNNNNNNNNNNNNNNNNNNNNNNNNNNNNNNNNNNNNNNNNNNNNNNNNNNNNNNNNNNNNNNNNNNNNNNNNNNNNNNNNNNNNNNNNNNNNNNNNNNNNNNNNNNAGAAAAGAGUUGCAAUUAGGAAAAUAAAAUCAAAUUAGAAGAGAGGAUCCCUCAACAUCUUCGGUAGUGUCCACGAAGUCGAGGAUAACUUUCUCAUCCGGACUCCAACUCAUCUGGUUCCGGCAGCAUUAGAAAGCAAUUUUAGCAGGCUACAAUUCCUGUCUAAUUUUAAAUUUCCAAAUUCGAACUCGAACAUGGUCAAAAUUGGAUUCCAAAAGCGAUCAUGAAAAUACGUGUUAACAGUACGGGUACAUGAAUGCGCAUCAAGAUACGUGCACAAAAGCACUCGCUACAAUAUAUACGCACAUAAGUAAAAGUACAAUAGCAUGCACAAAAGUUCACACGCAAAAGUGCAUUCGCAAAAAGGAUCAUGAAAACACAAGCUACAGUCCUAGGACAUUAACACAAAUCCACAAACUUGCACAAACACACUCGCUCAAAUGGACAUGCACAAACGUACAUGUAAAAAAUAUGCGCAAAAGUGCAUUCGCAACAACGUUCUUUAAAACACGAAAUACAACACUAGGACUUUAAUGCACAUAACCAAACAAUAGCAAAAACACUAAAUACAAAUUAUCGAGUGGAGUGUAGAAAUAACACUCAACGUUUAAGUUUACGUGGAUUUUUUUAUGGAUUAAUUUAUAUUUUUGUUUUAAUUGGUGGAUUUAGUAUCCUAUAGGUUCAAAUUGAUAAUUAGGUGUCCAUGAAGCAAAAAUGAUCAAAGAGAAAGAAAAGAGUUACAAUUAGGAAAAUAAAAUCAAAUUAGAAGAGAGGAUCCCUCAACAUCUUCGGUAGUGUCUACGAAGUCAAGCAUAACUUUCUCAUUCGGACUCCAAAUCAACUUGUUCCGGCGGCAGUAGAAAGCUAUUUAAGCUGGCUACAAUUCCUUUCUAAUGUCAAAUUUCCAAAUUCGGACUCGAACAUGGUCAAAAUUAGAUUCCAAAACCGAUCAUGAAAAUACGUGCUACAGUUCGAGGACACGAAUGCGCAUCAAGCAACGUGCACAAAAACACACGCUACAAAAUAUACGCACAUAAGUAAAAGUACAAAACCAUGCACAAAAGUACUCACGCAAAAGUGCAUUCGCAAAAAGGAUCACGAAAACACAAACUACAAUCCUAGGACAUUCAUACAAAUCAACAAACAUGCACAAACACACUCGCUCAAAUGGACAUGCACAAACGUACAUGUGAAAAAAUAUGCGCAAAAGUGCAUUCGCAACAACGUUCUUAAAAACACGAAAUACAACACUAGGACUUUAAUACGCAUAACCAAACAAUAGCAAAAACACUAAAUACAAAAGAUACAGUGGAGUGUAGAAAUAACACUCAAGUUUAUGUUUACGUGUAGUUUUUUAUGGAUUAAUUUAUAUUUGUGUUUUAAUUGGUGGAUUUAGUAUCUUAUAGGUACAAAUUGAUAAUUAGGUGUCCAUGAAGCAAAAAUGAUCAAAGAGUACGAAAAGAGUUGCAAUUAGGAAAAUAAAAUCAAAUUAGAAGAUGAGGUUCCCUCAACAUCUUCGGUAGUGUCCAAGAAGUCGAGCAUAACUUUAUCAUCCGGACUCCAAAUCAACUGGUUCCGGCGGCAUUCGAAACCAAUUUUAGUUGGCUUCAAUUCCUGUCUAAUGUCAAAUUUCCAAAUUCGGACUCGAACAUUGUCAAAAUUUGAUUCCAAAAGUUAUCAUGAAAAUAUGUGCUACAGUUCGAGGACACGAAUGCGCAUCAAAAAACGCGCAUUAAAACACUCGCUACAAAAGAUACGCACAUAAGUAAAAGUACAAAAACAUGCACAAAAGUACUCAUGCAAAAGUGCAUUCGCAAAAAGGAUCACGAAAACACAAACUACAAUCCUAGGACAUUAAUACAAAUCAACAAACAUGCACAAACACACUCGCUCAAAUAGACAUGCACAAACGUACAUGUAAAAAAAUAUGCGCAAAAGUCCAUUCGCAACAACGUUCUUAAAAACAAGAAAUACAACACUAGGACUUUAAUACGCAUAACCAAACAAUAGCAAAAUCACUAAAUACAAAAGAUACAGUGGAGUGUAGAAAUAACACUCAACGUUUACGUUUACGUGGAUUUUUUUAUUGAUUAAUUUAUAUUUUUGUAUUAAUUGGUGGAUUUAGUAUCUUAUAUGUACAAAUUUAUAAUUAGGUGUCCAUGAAGAAAAAAUGAUCAAAGAGUAAGAAAAGAGUUGCAAUUAGGAAAAUAAAAUCAAAUUAGAAGAGAUGAUCCCUCAACAUCUUCGGUAGUGUCCACGAAGUCGACCAUAACUUUCUCAUCCGGACUCCAAAUCAACUAGAUCCGGCGGCAUUAAAAAUCUAUUAUAGCUUGCUAAAAUUCCUGUCUAAUGUCAAAUUUCCAAAUUCGGACUCGAACAUGGUCAAAAUUAGAUUCAAAAAGCGAUCAUGAAAAUACGUGCUACAGUACGAGAACACGAAUGCGCAUCAAGAAACGUGCACAAAAACACACGCUACAAAAUAUACGCACAUAAGUACAAAAGCAUGCAUAAAAGUACUCACGCAAAAGUGCAUUUGCAAAAAUGAUCACGAAAACACAAACUACAAUCCUAGGACAUUAAUACAAAUCAACAAACAAGAACAAACACACUCGCUCAAAUGGACAUGCACAAACGUACAGGUGAAAAAAUAUGCGCAAAUGUGCAUUCGCAACAAUGUUCUUAAAAACACAAAAUACAACACUAGGACUUUAAUACACAUAACCAAACAAUAGCAAAAACACUAAAUACAAAAGAUACAGUGGAGUGUAGAAAUAACACUCAACGAUUACGUUUACGUGGAGUUUUUUAUGGAUUAAUAUAUAUUUUUGUUUCAAUUGGUGGAUUUAGUAUCUUAUAGGUACAAAUUGAUAAUUAGGUGCCCAUGAAGCAAAAAUGAUCAAAGAUUACGAAAAGAGUUGCAAUUAGGAAAAUAAAAUCAAAUUAGAAGAGAGGAUCCCUCAACAUCUUCGGUAGUGUCCAUGAAGUCGAGCAUAACUUUCUCAUCCGGCCUCCAAAUCAAGUGGUUCCGCCGGCAUUAGAAACCUAUUUUAGCUGGCUACAAUUCCUGUCUAAUAUCAAAUUUCGAAAUUCGGACUCGAACAUGGUCAAAAUUGGAUUCCAAAAGUGAUCAUGAAAAUACGUGCUACAGUUCGAGGACACGAAUGCGCAUCAAAAAACGCGCACUAAAACACUCGCUACAAAAGAUACGCACAUAAGUAAAAGUACAAAAGCAUGCACAAAAGUACUCACGCAAAAGUACAUUCGCAAAACGGAUCAUGAAAACACAAACUACAAUCCUAGGACAUUAAUACAAAUCAACAAACAUGCACAAACACACUCGCUCAAAUGGACAUGCACAAACGUAUAUGUAAAAACAUAUGCGCAAAAGUACAUUCGCAACAACGUUCUUAAAAACACGAAAUACAACACUAGGACUUUAAUACGCAUAACCAAACAAUAGCAAAAACACUAAAUACAAAAGAUACAGUGGAGUGUAGAAAUAACACUCAACGUUUACGUUUACGUGGAUUUUUUUAUUGAUUAAUUUAUAUUUUUGUAUUAAUUGGUGGAUUUAGUAUCUUAUAUGUACAAAAUGAUAAUUAGGUUUCCAUGAAGCAAAAAUGAUCAAAGAGUACGAAAAGAGUUGCAAUUAGGAAAAUAAAAUCAAAUUAGAAGAGAUGAUCCCUCAACAUCUUCGGUAGUGUCCACGAAGUCGAGCAUAACUUUCUCAUCCGGACUCCAAAUCAACUGGUUCCGGUGGCAUUAGAAAGCUAUUUUAGCUGGCUACAAUUCCUGUCUAAUGUAAAAUUUCCAAAUUUGGACUCGAACAUGGUCAAAAUUGGAUUCCAAAAGCGAUCAUGAAAAUAUGUGCUACAGUUCGUGUAACGCCCCACAACCUAACAGCAGAAUCCAAUUGGAUCACCACCAUUAAGUUAGGGAUGCUAACCUUUUUAUAUAUACUUAAACAUUAUGGUUUUAAUACAAAAAUACAUUAUAUGCUUUGAAAAGAAAUCAAACUUCGUACUUUCUCAAAACCCAUACAUAUAUAUACAUUCUUUACAAAAUUACAUUGUACAAAAACCAUUAUAGAGCGGCCAGUCAGAUAUUUGUUCAUAUGCCAUGCUUCGAGUCAUUUUUGUAGCGGAGCUAAAAACUCUGAUUUCAGUGCACCCGGGCAGCACAAAAAUGUUCAAAGACUUUACAACUACACUACUGGUGGCCUAACAUAAAGAAAGAUAUAGCAAAGUUUGUGGCCGAAUGCCUCACUUGUCAACAAGUUAAAAUGGAACAUUAAAGACCAGCAGGACUAUUGAAACCUUUACUGAUUCUAGAGUGGAAAUGGGAGCAUAUUACAAUGGAUUUUGUGCUUGGAAUGCCUAGAACACAAAGGGGAUACAAUUCCAUAUGGGUGAUUGUUGAUAGACUAACUAAAUCAGCCCAUUUUCUUCCAGUGAAGUCCACAUUCAACAUGGAGCAAUAUGCACAACAAUAUAUUAAAGAGGUAGUUAGAUUGCAUGGAGUGCCUGUGUCAAUAGUGUCUGAUAGAGAUCCGAAGUUUACUUCUGCAUUUUGGAAGAGUUUGCACAGACUGAUGGACGAUCCGAGAGAGUUAUUCAAAUACUUGAGGAUAUGUUAAGAGCUUGUGUUCUAGAUUUGAAAGUGAGUUGGGAUGAAAAACUUCCGUUGGUAGAGUUCACUUACAAUAACAGCUAUCAAUCUACAAUCGGAAUGGCACCUUAUGAAGCACUAUAUGGGAGAAAAUGUAGAUCUCCAGUUCAUUGGGAUGAAGUUGGCGAAAGAAGUCUACUUGGGCCAGAGAUGGUGCAACAUACAGCUGAGACGGUACAGAAGAUAAGGGAAAGAAUGAAGACGGCACAGAGUAGACAGAAAAGCUAUGCAGAUAAACGAAGAAGAGAUCUAGAGUUUACGGUUGGCGACCAUGUAUUUUUGAAAGUAGCUCCAUUGAAAGGCAUCAUGAGAUUUGGAAAGAAAGGAAAACUUAGUCCAAGAUAUGUUGGUCCGUUUGAAAUCCUUGAAAGAGUUGGUGAUAGAGCAUAUAGAGUAGCCUUACCUCCUUCAUUAUCUGGUGUUCACAAUAUUUUCCAUGUGUCUAUGUUGAAGAAGUACAUUUCAAAUCCCUCUCAUGUGUUGAGUUAUGAACCGUUGGAGUUUUCUGCAGAUUUGUCUUAUGAGGAGAAACCAAUUCAAAUUAUUGAUCAAAAAGUCAAGGAGCUGAGAAAUAAAAAGAUUCCAUUAGUUAAGGUAUUGUGGAGAAAUCAAUCUAUUGAAGAAGCCACGUGGGAAAGAGAGGAAGAAAUGCAUAGCAAAAAUCCAGAAUUGUUCGGUACGUCAAAUUUCAAGGGCGAAAUUUUAUAAGGAGGGAAGGAUUGUAAUGCCCAAUCAUCCGCACAUGGCCAAUAAUAAGCAUAUUGCAUCAAUGCAUGUAGUUAUAAUCCAUUAUUCAUGAUGCAUGAUCACGACUACUUGCUACACAUGUGCCUUAAUUGUGUUUUAAUACGUGACCGAAUACUUUUCUUAAAAUGUGCUGAUACAUGAUACAUGUUAUUGAACUCCUAUUUUAUGAUUUAACAUGAGACUUGAGUGAUUUAUUGUAGUGAGAAGCUCAGUUUCUCGGUUAAGAAGGGAUCAAUGUGCUAAACGCUGAUAUAUUUGUCUUAAUUGCAGUUAUGCAUUUUAAUUACAUUUUAAUAUGAUUAAUUACAUAUGUAAUUACUUGAAGUAACUCAUAUUAGACUAAAACCAAAAGUAUGCAAAAGGGUGCAAUUUGAUUGGUUGGUUGACUAGGUUGCACAAGACCAUUCUCAAAUUGUUUACACUUGAUUAUAAUGAGUAAGCAUCAGCCCAUAUCUUAUCUCAAGCUAGAAAAACGUGGAGGAACCACAAUAAUCCAGCAAAUAUAAGCCUUCCAAUCAUCAUCCUCCAUUUGGCCUUGUUGGGAAUGGGUAGAUAAGUGAAGACUUUGUGUUUUGGUCUUCAUUUCACUUGUCUUCUUCCAAAAACCGACCAGACCUAUUUCCUUAAGCUUCUCUUGAUAUUUCUUCACUUCCAUACUCACAUAAGAGAACAUCAAACCAUAAGAACUCAUAGAAGUAGAGCUAGAACAAGUUCUGCACCUUUUCUAGCUGAAAAUCCUAUGUUUUUAAGUUUGAAUUCAUCUAUAAUCAAGGCUUCUAGCACACCUUAUCUAAGACUGCUGAUCCUUUCACUUCAUAAACCAUAUUUAUUUUGAGAUAAGUUGAAGCUUUCAUUUGCUCAUUAUAAGAACCUAAUUAUGUGUGUUUUAAUAUGACUUUUGAUAUGUGUUCCCCAUGAUGUUUGAAUGAUUGAUGAGUCAUAGUGAUAUGAAAGAAUAUGUUUUGAAAAUGGGAGUAUGGUACUUGAUUGAUGGUCGAGUAGGCAAGGGACGCGGGAGGAACCGGCGAACCCAACACAUGGUGGCAAAUACCUGAGGUCGAAAGACCAGUAUGGAAAACCCACAAUUAAAGAAAUGAAAUACGGCUAAUACCUGAGGUCGAAAGGCCGGUAUGGAAACCCCCGUAUUAUCUAUUGGCCAAAUAUGAUGAACAGGUUCCGAAAAUCAAAGUCUAUUACUAUCAGUCAAGUACCACACUUCAAGGGUACCCGAUAAAGAGAAGCAUUUCAAAGAAAAGGAUCACGAAUGAAGUUAUAUGUGAUAUUGUACAUAUUGAAUGAAUAACGUGUUAUGUGAUAUAUUGCUAUUCAUCAGUUUCAACUUGCUGAGCCAUUAGCUCAUUAGGUUCUUAUGAUGCAGGUAAUGAUGUACAUGUUUAGAAGUUGACCUAGCCAAGAGCGGCCAGACAGAGUUUUGUUCAUAUGCCAUG
rnacentral:lncRNA from 1 species